CGGGUUACCGAAUUCAGACAAACUCCGAAUGCCAAUUAAUUUAACUUGGGAGUCAGAACAUGGGUGAUAAGGUCCGUGUUCGAAAGGGAAACAGCCCAGACCACCAGCUAAGGUCCCAAAAUAUAUGUUAAGUGGAAAAGGAUGUGGCGUUGCCCAGACAACUAGGAUGUUGGCUUAGAAGCAGACAUCAUUUAAAGAGUGCGUAAUAGCUCACUAGUCGAGUGACACUGCGCCGAAAAUGUACCGGGGCUAAACAUAUUACCGAAGCUGUGGAUUGUCCUUUGGACAAUGGUAGGAGAGCGUUCUAAGGGCGUUGAAGCAUGAUCGUAAGGACAUGUGGAGCGCUUAGAAGUGAGAAUGCCGGUGUGAGUAGCGAAAGACGGGUGAGAAUCCCGUCCACUGAUUGACUAAGGUUUCCAGAGGAAGGCUCGUCCGCUCUGGGUUAGUCGGGUCCUAAGCUGAGGCCGACAGGCGUAGGCGAUGGAUAACAGGUUGAUAUUCCUGUACCACCUAUAAUCGUUUUAAUCGAUGGGGGGNGGGGGGACGCAGUAGGAUAGGCGAAGCGUGCGAUUGGAUUGCACGUCUAAGCAGUAAGGCUGAGUAUUAGGCAAAUCCGGUACUCGUUAAGGCUGAGCUGUGAUGGGGAGAAGACAUUGUGUCUUCGAGUCGUUGAUUUCACACUGCCGAGAAAAGCCUCUAGAUAGAAAAUAGGUGCCCGUACCGCAAACCGACACAGGUAGUCAAGAUGAGAAUUCUAAGGUGAGCGAGCGAACUCUCGUUAAGGAACUCGGCAAAAUGACCCCGUAACUUCGGGAGAAGGGGUGCUCUUUAGGGUUAACGCCCAGAAGAGCCGCAGUGAAUAGGCCCAAGCGACUGUUUAUCAAAAACACAGGUCUCUGCUAAACCGUAAGGUGAUGUAUAGGGGCUGACGCCUGCCCGGUGCUGGAAGGUUAAGAGGAGUGGUUAGCUUCUGCGAAGCUACGAAUCGAAGCCCCAGUAAACGGCGGCCGUAACUAUAACGGUCCUAAGGUAGCGAAAUUCCUUGUCGGGUAAGUUCCGACCCGCACGAAAGGCGUAACGAUUUGGGCACUGUCUCAACGAGAGACUCGGUGAAAUCAUAGUACCUGUGAAGAUGCAGGUUACCCGCGACAGGACGGAAAGACCCCGUGGAGCUUUACUGUAGCCUGAUAUUGAAAUUCGGCACAGCUUGUACAGGAUAGGUAGGAGCCUUUGAAACGUGAGCGCUAGCUUACGUGGAGGCGCUGGUGGGAUACUACCCUAGCUGUGUUGGCUUUCUAACCCGCACCACUUAUCGUGGUGGGAGACAGUGUCAGGCGGGCAGUUUGACUGGGGCGGUCGCCUCCUAAAAGGUAACGGAGGCGCUCAAAGGUUCCCUCAGAAUGGUUGGAAAUCAUUCAUAGAGUGUAAAGGCAUAAGGGAGCUUGACUGCGAGACCUACAAGUCGAGCAGGGUCGAAAGACGGACUUAGUGAUCCGGUGGUUCCGCAUGGAAGGGCCAUCGCUCAACGGAUAAAAGCUACCCCGGGGAUAACAGGCUUAUCUCCCCCAAGAGUUCACAUCGACGGGGAGGUUUGGCACCUCGAUGUCGGCUCAUCGCAUCCUGGGGCUGUAGUCGGUCCCAAGGGUUGGGCUGUUCGCCCAUUAAAGCGGUACGCGAGCUGGGUUCAGAACGUCGUGAGACAGUUCGGUCCCUAUCCGUCGUGGGCGUAGGAAAUUUGAGAGGAGCUGUCCUUAGUACGAGAGGACCGGGAUGGACAUACCUCUGGUGUACCAGUUGUCGUGCCAACGGCAUAGCUGGGUAGCUAUGUGUGGACGGGAUAAGUGCUGAAAGCAUCUAAGCAUGAAGCCCCCCUCAAGAUGAGAUUUCCCAACUUCGGUUAUAAGAUCCCUCAAAGAUGAUGAGGUUAAUAGGUUCGAGGUGGAAGCAUGGUGACAUGUGGAGCUGACGAAUACUAAUCGAUCGAAGACUUAAUCAAAA
rnacentral:rRNA from 1 species